rnacentral:rRNA from 1 species
GGGAAACACCUGGCUCCAUUCCGAACCCAGAAGUUAAGCCUCUUAGCGCCGAUGGUACUGCACGGGGGACCGUGUGGGAGAGUAGGACGUCGCCGGAC